GGUUCGGCUCUCGGGUGGAUCCUGCCUGCCCUGCCGGGAGCUCUCCUGCCCUGCCGGGAGCUCUCCACAGCUCUCGGCAUCUCCCUGUGUCAGAGCCGCGCAGUGCUCGGGUGGGAGUCAGGCUGACAUUCAUUUUGAGAAAGGCAUCUUGAGAAGCAGCUUGAGAAACGCAGCAAGUUGAAGCACAGGCUGGAAAAAAGCACACCGCCUGAGCUGGACUGGGUGAUCCUGAUGAACCCCUUCCAAUCACUGCAUCCUGUAAUUCUGUGACAUGGACUGAGGCAGCCUGUGGGGCAGGAUGGACAGCAGGACAGCAGGGACAGGCAAUGCUCACUCAUUUCUGACCCCCACCAACCUAGGGUAGAAGAACCAGGACCUCCAGUGUUUUUAAACAGGAAAUUGUGUGUGCCCCAUUGCUGUGUACAUUUACUGUGAUGGUGGAACUUGUGAGCUCUGGGAUCACAGGGAUACAGCCAGACUGUGUGGAAUUAGACAUAAAUUUGUUCUCACACCAGUUGUGAGCAGGUAGCUGAAAACCUGUUGAAGGUAAUAAUAAACUUUCUCACUGGUGAACAUCAGAGAAAUCCCAGGAGUUCCUGAAUUUGUCACAGGAAGCCUCAAAUGAGUUGAAGUUCUGGUCUGGAGUCAUGGUCAUGCCUGGGUACAAAGAGCCUCUGCUUGUAGCUGUUCAGAAAAAAAGGAGUCCAGACUGUGGGCUGUUCUUGCCUUCCCAUGAAAUUCCACUCUUCCCCUGGUUUAGGUACAGGAAGGAAAGAAUCCAUCUGUGGCAUUUCCCUGUGCAAGAUGCCAAAUGUUCAGUUGGAAAGGAGGUUUCUUCCCCCAGUCAGAACUGUCUCCUCUGUACCUCAAGAACUUCCUGUAGGAAAUUUUUAGACUGCUGGUGGAGCCCCAUGGAAUGAGUCAGCUCUGUGCUGCUUUCAGUCCUGUGAAUGAAAGGAGUCUGGAGGCAUAAUUUCCUUAUUACUGCAGCAUGGGUUUGAGAAAAUUGUAGAAUUCACUGCUUUCUCAUAGAUAUGUCUGUCUAAUUGACAGAAAGAAAACACCAAAGCCUCGUGUGAAUCACAAUUCCAGAAUCAUUAAGGAUGGGGAAAAAACUCCAGGAUCAGCAAGUCCAACCUGUGACUGACCCAGCCCAGAGCUCUGGGUGCCACCUCCAGGGAUGGGCACUCCAAACCUCC